AGGAGUUUGGUAUCCUGGCGUCAGGAUGAACGCUGGCGGCGUGCUUAACACAUGCAAGUCGAGCGAAAUAAUUGAGAGCUUUGCUUUUGAUUAUUUUAGCGGCGGACGGGUGAGUAACGUGUGGGCAACUUACCUUUUACUAGUGGAAUAAUCGUUGGAAACGACGACUAAUACCGCAUACGGUUCUUGGAAGGCAUCUUCUAAGAAAGAAAGGAGUAAUUCGGUAAAAGAUGGGCCCGCAUCUGAUUAGCUAGUUGGUGAGAUAAUAGCCCACCAAGGCAACGAUCAGUAGCCGACCUGAGAGGGUGACCGGCCACAUUGGGACUGAGACACGGCCCAAACUCCUACGGGAGGCAGCAGUGGGGAAUAUUGCACAAUGGGCGAAAGCCUGAUGCAGCAACGCCGCGUGAAGGAAGACGGUUUUCGGAUUGCAAACUUCUAUCAAUAGGGAAGAAAGAAAUGACGGUACCUAAAUAAGAAGCCCCGGCUAACUACGUG
rnacentral:rRNA from 1 species